GAUGAACGCUGGCGGCGUGCUUAACACAUGCAAGUCGAACGAUGAAGCCCAGCUUGCUGGGUGGAUUAGUGGCGAACGGGUGAGUAACACGUGAGUAACCUGCCCUUAACUCUGGGAUAAGCCUGGGAAACUGGGUCUAAUACCGGAUAGGAGCGUCCACCGCAUGGUGGGUGUUGGAAAGAUUUAUCGGUUUUGGAUGGACUCGCGGCCUAUCAGCUUGUUGGUGAGGUAAUGGCUCACCAAGGCGACGACGGGUAGCCGGCCUGAGAGGGUGACCGGCCACACUGGGACUGAGACAAGGCACAGCCUCCUACGGGAGGCAGCAGUGGGGAAUAUUGCACAAUGGGCGCAAGCCUGAUGCAGCGACGCCGCGUGAGGGAUGACGGCAUUCGGGUUGUAAACCUCUUUCAGUAGGGAAGAAGCGAAAGUGACGGUACCUGCAGAAGAAGCACCGGCUAACUACGUG
rnacentral:rRNA from 1 species